UACGUAGGGUGCAAGCGUUAAUCGGAAUUACUGGGCGUAAAGCGUGCGCAGGCGGUGAUGUAAGACAGGCGUGAAAUCCCCGGGCUCAACCUGGGAAUUGCGCUUGUGACUGCAUCGCUGGAGUGCGGCAGAGGGGGAUGGAAUUCCGCGUGUAGCAGUGAAAUGCGUAGAUAUGCGGAGGAACACCGAUGGCGAAGGCAAUCCCCUGGGCCUGCACUGACGCUCAUGCACGAAAGCGUGGGGAGCAAACAGGAUUAGAUACCCUGGUAGUCCACGCCCUAAACGAUGUCAACUGGUUGUUGGGUAUUUACUUACUCAGUAACGAAGCUAACGCGUGAAGUUGACCGCCUGGGGAGUACGGCCGCAAGGUUGAA
rnacentral:rRNA from 1 species